CUCAUCAGAGGACGUGGUGGCAAAGGAGGGCAGGGGUUUUAGGAGUUACCGUGUGUGGAUGCUCCCCGGCACUGCAGUGAAAGUCGGAUGGAGCAAAAGGUAGGGCAGAGUGUCCCUUUCACCACACCAUCUUCCGGCCGGGAAUCUGGCUUGCAGACUUUUUCUCUGCUGGUCUCUCAGGCCACGUGUGAGCAAGCACGUGUCACCAACAAGCGAGUGAGGGCUGGUUGUGGGGGAAAGUGUCAAGUGAUCAACCCUCUAGUUUGCCUGGACGCUCUAGGUUCUGCACUGACAGCCUUGCAUCCCUGAAAACCCCUCAGUCCCUGGCAAAACUGGACACUUGGUUAUCCUACUCACCAACCGGAGCAGUAUCAUGGAAAAUUAAGCUCACUGAACUCCUGUUAUCAUCCCAUCCUUCCAGUGACACGACUGAGAAGCAGUGUGACUUGCCCAAGGUCAUGGAAGUGGGAACAGAGCAGAAAUUUGAACCCACCACCUCUGGCCAGAGACUGAAGCUUAAACCGCUUGCAGCCCCUCCUCCUGAGAUUAAGGAAAAACAAAGCAGAGAGUGCAAAGCUAGUGGAGGUGAUGGAAUUCCAGUUGAGCUCUUUCAAAUCCUGAAAGAUGAUGCUCUGAAAGUGCUGCACUCAAUAUGCCAGCAAAUUUGGAAAACUCAGCAGUGGCCACAGGACUGGAAAAGGUCGGUUUUCAUUCCAAUUCCAAAGAAAGACGAUGCCAAAGAAUGCUCAAACUACCACACAAUUGCACUCAUCUCACACGCUAGUAAAGUAAUGCUCAAAGUUCUCCAAGCCAGCCUUCAGCAAUACAUGAACCGUGAACUUCCAGAUGUUCAAGCUGGUUUUAGAAAAGGCAGAGGAACCAGAGAUCAAAUUGCCAACAUCCGCUGGAUCAUGGAAAAAGCAAGAGAGUUCCAGAAAAACAUCUAUUUCUGCUUUAUUGACUAUGCCAAAGCCUUUGACUGUGUGGAUCACAAUAAACUGUAGAAAAUUCUGAAAGAGAUGGGAAUACCAGACCACCUGAUCUGCCUCUUGAGAAACCUGUAUGCACGUCAGGAAGCAACAGUUAGAACUGGACAUGGAACAACAGACUGGUUCCAAAUAGGAAAAGGAGUAUGUCAAGGCUGUAUAUUGUCACCCUGUUUAUUUAACUUCUAUGCAGAGUACAUCAUGAGAAACGCUGGACUGGAAGAAACACAAGCUGGAAUCAAGAUUGCCGGGAGAAAUAUCAAUAACCUCAGAUAUGCAGAUGACACCACCCAUAUGGCAGAAAGUGAAGAGGAACUCAAAAGCCUCUUGAUGAAAGUGAAAGUGGCGAGUAAAAAAGUUGGCUUAAAGCUCAACAUUCAGAAAACAAAAAUCACGGCAUCCAGUCCCAUCACUUCAUGGGAAAUAGAUGGGGAAACAGUGGAAACAGUGUCAGAUUUUAUUUUGGGGGGCUCUAAAUCACUGCAGAUGGUGACUGCAGACAUGAAAUUAAAAGACGCUUACUCCUUGGAAGGAAAGUUAUGACCAACCUAGAUAGCAUAUUCAAAAGCAGAGACAUUACUUUGCCAACAAAGGUUCGUCUAGUCAAGGCUAUGGUUUUUCCAGUGGCCAUGUAUGGAUGUGAGAGUUGGACUGUGAAGAAGGCUGAGCGCCGAAGAAUUGAUGCUUUUGAACUGUGGUGUUGGAGAAGACUCUUGAGAGUCCCUUGGACUGCAAGGAGAUCCAACCAGUCCAUUCUGAAGGAGAUCAGCCCUGGGAUUUCUUUGGAAGGAAUGAUGCUAAAGCUGAAACUCCAGUACUUUGGCCACCUGAUGCGAAGAGUUGACUCAUUGGAAGAGACUCUGAUGCUGGGAGGGAUUGGAGGCAGGAGGAGAAGGGGAGGACAGAGGAUGAGAUGGCUGGAUGGCAUCACUGACUCGAUGGACGUGAUGAGUGAACUCUGGGAGUUGGUGAUGGACAGGGAGGCCUGGCGUGCUGCGAUUCAUGGGGUCACAAAGAGUUGGACACAACUGAGCGACUGAACUAAACUGAACUGAAAGCAUACCUGCUGGCUCAAUCCAGCUGCAGAGACACCAUUAGAAUUCUGCUGUCUGUACCAACAAACCAGCCAAAAACUCUGAGCCUACACUUGUGAAAAUAGUAAUACUAGCGAUAAACAAGUGUUGGAACAGUGUUAAAGAUCUUGUAGUUCCCAACUGAGACCUCCUCCUUGGUGUAAUCAGAAUGAAAGAGAAUUCAAGUGGUAAUAACUUUCUCACUGUGCAAAUCGAUGGCAUUUGCUGCCACGCCCAUGUACAACCUAAAGCCAUCCCACCAGUAGCAACAACCCAGUUUGUAAAAGCACAGACACACUAUGUCCCAGUCUGGCGUAAUGUACACAUUCAAUGCUUGUUGUAGUAAAUAAGUGCCAUUUUCAGAGGCUUGAAACAACACUUUUUUUUUUAAACAUUUAUUUGUUUGGCUGCAUCUGAUCUUAGCUGCGGCACGUGGAAUCUUUAGUUGCAGCAAAUGAGAUCUAGUUCCCAGACCAGAGAUGGAACCCUCGUCCCGUACUUUAGGAGCAUGGAGUCUUAGCCACUAGACCCAGGGAAGUCCUGAGACAACAUUCUUUAAAGAGUCUGUGUUCCAAACGUUUGUUUAUCAUGGUCUUUUUUUUCCACCCAAGACGGAGCACACUUUCCCCGGAAACGGAGAUAUAAAUAGGACCACAGAAGCAACACUGCAGAUGGGUUAUUUUACAUUUGCAAUGAAAAAAGAGUGGCCAAGAAGGCUGUUGCAAAUGUAUGGUGUGACGUACCAGCCCCACAAACUUCCUUUGCCCCUAGUGGCUCCUGGUCUGAAAUAAACCUCUGGGAGUCAGACCUUGGCA
rnacentral:lncRNA from 1 species